AUUUUCUAUGAUGAAUUUUUUACCGCCCCAGGCUGAAAGUCUGAUGAUUGGUUUUUCUGAUUCAAA
rnacentral:snoRNA from 1 species